GGCAGAGAAAGUACAGACUGCUCCGAGAGAGACAGACUCGGCUACGAGCUAAAACAGGACCUGAGCCCUAGGACCAUGCCUCAGGACUACCUGGUAUGAUGACUCCUUGCUGUCCCCAGUCCACCUGGCCGUGCUGCUGCUCCAGUUUCAACUGUUCUGCCUGCGGCUAUGGAACCCUGACCUGUUCACCGGACGUGCUUGUUGCACCCUCGACAACUACUAUGAUUAUUAUUAUUUGACCAUGCUGGUCAUUUAUGAACAUUUUAACAUUUUAACAUCUUGACCAUGUUCUGUUAUAAUAUCCACCCUGCACAGCCAGAAGAGGACUGGCCACCCCUCAUAGCCUGGUUCCUCUCUAGGUUUCUUCCUAGGUUUUUGGCCUUUCUAGGGAGUUUUUCCUAGGGAGUUUUUCCUAGCCACCGUGCUUCUUUCACAUGCUUUGCUUGCUGUUUGGGGUUUUAGGCUGGGUUUCUGUACAGCACUUUGAGAAUAUCAGCUGAUGUACGAAGGGCUAUAUAAAAAUAAAUUUGAUUUGAUUUGAUUUGAUCAUUUUGGAGUCACUUUUAUUGUAAAUAAGCAUAGAAUAUGUUUCUGAACAAUUCU
rnacentral:lncRNA from 1 species